rnacentral:lncRNA from 1 species
GGGUGGGAGGGGAUAUAACUGGAACUCUGGGAAUGUAACGUGCAUGGUGUGCUUGUCUGACAGACAGGGCAGCUGAGGGGAAUAAGUCUCUGCAGCGUUGUAGUGAAGAGAGAAUACGGGACAACUGCAGGACCACAGCUCAGCCAAGACACAACCACAUGACUGAAGACAGAGCUCAUCUGGGUCAGUGUUUCAGAAAAUGUUGCCAAGAAACUUCAAAUGCAGAUUCCUGGACCUCAGUGCAAACUACCAUAUUGGAAGUGAGAGUCGGGGUGAGAUGGAGGAGAGGUGAUAUUGAGAACCUGCAUUUUUUAAAACUUUUAUUUUAGUUUCAGGGGUACAUGUGAAGGUUUG